UGUCUCGUUGGUGAACCAGCGGAGGGAUCAUU
rnacentral:rRNA from 1 species